UGCCCCACCCUGAAUGAUAAGUCUAUCAUCAUAAAAUGAAAAUAUAAUUUAUAAAUAACUAAUGUGAUAGCAUUUUGUUCUUCAAACAGUAUUCUUAUGUGCUUGGUGGGGUGAGAGGUGGAUGAUUGUUUUUUGGUGAAAAUAUAGCAGUUUUGUUGACUCAUUUCCCAGAUUAUUCAAAUUAGUCAUUGGUAAUUUGGGAUUUAUUUCAUGGUUCUUAAAAAAAGGAAAUUUUUUUAAUCCAAAAACCUCAUUUAAAGCGGCCCUAUGAAAUGAGCUUACUAACAUGAAGUGUCGCUGAUUUCUUUUUUAACAAGGCAUUUUCCAGCCCUUCUAACUUUGUUUCACAAUGUCAAGUACUGUCACUCGUUUCCGAUUUUCUAGUUAUCCCUCAGCCAUAUAGCGAUAGAUCCUGCGUCCUAUCGCCACUUUGGUUAUAGCAGUUUGAAAAUCUAAAUUUAUAUAUCUGGAAUUUGUGAAUGUGCAGAAAUCAUUGUAUCAUUAAACAGUUGUCUUUGGAACCCUUUAACUCAUUAAACUCCCCCUCUGCAUGAUGGCAGAAACCUGUUAACAAAUAGAGUCUCUAUAAAUAACACAACAGGGGAGAAAGCUCCUGCUGAGCGCCCAUUUCCCCUCCUCGGAUAGACACUAUUUGUUACCUUCUUGGCACCAAUAGGUCUGGAACUCCUGCUGGUCAAGACUAAUGUAUUUUACAUUAACACUCAAAGCGAUCCCCAAUUUCUUCUGCUAAAGGGUAGAUUGUUUAAAAAAUUCUUUUUAUCUUCACACGUAAAUUAUUUAUGGACUUUCCCCCCCUUUUACAGUUUAGCGUGUUUGGCAAAUGGAUACCACUGAAAACAAACCACAGAAAAAGAAAAAACUAAACUUCUUAUGAAGCUUUUUGGUUUUGGUAAUUUAGAAAGGCAAAAAGCCUUUCAGAAAUGUAAGAUGUUAGAGGGUUUUGUGUUUUGUUAAAUUUUUGUAUUUCUCCUUUAACACGAAGGUUAAAAAGAUGAUUGUUAUUUUCUCCCCUUUUAAUUGUAUGGUGAUCUAUGAUCUCAAUUGUCUGUAUUUUUAAAAUUUCACGUGCUUUGUUUCAUUCCUCAAGAAAUGCUAAUGAGAAUGAGGGAAACGUUUUGGUGUGUGAUUUUUUAUUUUUUUUUUAACUUGGUUUUACAAAUGUAAAUUUGUUCUCAUUCUCUGGCAUCUGCGGUUAAAAAUACAAAGACACUUUACCAGUUGUGUUGGUUUCAAAA